CAUUUAAAAAUGUGGAUGCCCAGUUAUUCUAACACCAUUUGUUCAAGAGAGUAACCUUGCUCCGUUGAAUUAGCUUUACACCUUUGUCGGAAAGCCAUUGACCAUAUAUGAUUGGGUCUGUUUCUGGACUCUCUGUUCUGUAAGCAGUUUUUAAAAGAGUUUAGAAAAGUCACUGUAUUUGUUUCCUAGGGCUUCCAUAACAACAUACCACAAACUUGAGCAGCUUAAAACAACAGAAUUUAUUUUCUCUGGAGGCUAGAUGUCCAAAGUCAAGGUGUCAGCAGGGCAAAGCUCUCCUUCCUUGCCUCUUCCUACUUUCUGGUGGUGGCUAUUGAUCCUUGUUCCUUGGCUUUGAGCUGUGUCUCUGUAGCCACACGGCAUUCUCCCUGUGUGUUUUAUCUUCACGUGACAUUUUCCUGUUCUUCUAAGGACAUCAGCCAUAUUGGAUUAGAGUUCUCCCUAAUGGCCUCGUCUUAACUUGAUGACAUCCACAAAGACCCUAUUUCCAAAUAAGGUCACAUUCACAAGUACCAGGGGUUAGCACCUCAGCAUAUCUUUUGGUGGUGCACAAGCCCUUAACAUCACUAAACAAACAAGCCAUUACAACGUACAGCAAGCAAUGAAAACCAACCCUCAAUGGGAGAAUGAAUCUGAUGUCAAGAGAUACCACAUUAUAAUAUUCAACAGAAAAUUACACAGUGUGCAAAGAAACAAAAAAGUAUGAACCAUUCAUGGGAGAAAGGAACAUAAACUGUCCCCAAGGAAGUACAGACUUGUACUUGGGCUUACUAGACAAGGACUUUAAAUCAACUGUCUUAGUCUGAAAGUGCCAAAGGAAACCAUGGACAAAGAGUUAAAGGAAACCAGGAGAAUGAUGUCUGAGCAAAUAGAGAAUAUCACCAGACAGAAAUUAUAAAAAGGAAACACAAAUUCUGGAGCUGAAAAGUACUUUUUUCAUGAAAAAAAAUCACUAGAGAGUUUCAACAUCAGAUUUGAGCAGGCAGAAGAAUCUGUGAACUAAAAGUCAAUUGAAAUUAUUGAGUCCGAGGAGAAGAAAGAAAAAUAAACAGGCUAUGGGACACCAUCAAGAUACCAACAGAUUUAUAAUGGGAGUCUCCAUAGAAUAGGAGAGAAAGAAAGAGUAUUUCAAGAAAUAAUGGUCAAAAACUCCACAAACUUAUAUGAGACGUGAAUCUACACAUCCAAGAAACUCAACAAAUUCCAAGAGGGAUAAAUGCAAAGAGAUCUACACCAAGACACAUUUUAAUUAAACUGUCAAAAGCCAAAAACGAAUCUUGAAAGCAGCAAGAGGAACCAGGACUCAUGCACAAGGGACCAACAAUAAGAUUAACAACUAAAAAGGAAAAACAUACAGCUCUCCUCCUGUGGAGGGGGAAACCCAGUUCUUGCCUACUGUGUGUUUCUUCCCUUGACCAGCCCACAGUGACAAGUCCAUCUGGGAGCCCACUCAGAGUUACCUCUUUAGAACGAAAGGCACUCCUAUCACCCAGGAAAUUACAAGGGUUUCAGGAGCCCUGUGUCAGGAUCCAGGGCCAAAGAUCAAAUAUUAGAAGAAAAGAUGCUUCUGAUGCUCUUAUCAUUUAGGAAAUUACAAGGGUUUCAGGAGCUCUGUGCCAGGAACUGAAGGCAGAGACCAAUAUAUAUUUUCUAUUAUCUCACAACAGCCAUUUCUCAUCAGAAACCAUCAAAUCCAGAAGGCAGUGGGAUGACAUAUUUAAAGUACUGACAGAAAAAAACUGUUAAUGAAAUAUCUUAUACCUGGAAAAACAAUCCUUCAAAAAUGAAGGAGAAAUUAGGACAUUUCCAGAUAAUCAAAUGCUGAAGGAGUCCAUCACCAGUAGACUGGCCCUAUGAGAAAUAGUAAAGGGAGUCCUUCAGGCAGAAGUGAAAGGACAUUAGGCAGUGUCUUGAUGCCAAAAGAAUAAAUAAAGAACACUGGUAAAGUAACUACAUAGGUAAAUGCUACACAAGCCUGUAUUAUUUUACUUUUGACCCAUAACUCCUAUAAGGUUCAAAAAAAUGCAUAAAACAGUAGUCAUAAAUCUGUGUUUUUGUUAUACGAUAUAUAAAGAUGUAAUUUGAGACAACAAAAACCUAAAGCGAAAAAGACAGAGGUAUACAGGAGCAGAGUUUUUCUAUACUAUUAAAGCUAGGUUGGUAUUAAUUCAAAAUAAAUUGUAAUACAUCUAAGAGAUUAACUGUAACCUCAGAGUAACCACCAAGAAGAUAACUAACAAAUAUACAGCAAACGAAAUGAGAAGGAAAGCAAAAC
rnacentral:lncRNA from 1 species